UCCGUAGGUGAACCUGCGGAAGGAUCACUAGAGAUUUCGCCCUCCGGGGCUCUCUUUUUCUUCACACACCCCUGUGCACUUUGGCUGCCGCUUCAUUGCGGUGGUCUUUUAUAAUUACCAUACCCAUAUACACAAGUCAUUGAAUGUAAAAUCGUUAUAAACUAAUAUAACUUUCAACAACGGAUCUCUUGGUUCUCGCAUCGAUGAAGAACGCAGCGAAUUGCGAUAAGUAAUGUGAAUUGCAGAAUUCAGUGAAUCAUCGAAUCUUUGAACGCAUCUUGCGCUCUUUGGUAUUCCGAAGAGCAUGCCUGUUUGAGUGUCAUGAAACUCCCACCUGCAGCACUCUUUUAUUAGAGGGCUGGAGCGUGGACGUGAGUGCUGCUGGUGCCCUCGCUGCAUCGGCUCACUUGAAAUUUAUUAGCUGAAUCCUCUAGUGUUGGUUCUACUCGACGUGAUAAGAUCUCCGUCGAGGACAGUGCUCCUUGUGGGCGUUGGCCACUGCUAGCUGUUGAUACGCUCCUAAUUAGCGCAGACUUCGAGUGCUGGCAACUUUUGACAACUUGGCCUCAAAUCAGGUAGGACUACCCACUGAACUUAAGCAUAUCAAUAAGCGGAGGAA
rnacentral:rRNA from 1 species